rnacentral:rRNA from 1 species
UACGGAGGGAGCUAGCGUUGUUCGGAAUUACUGGGCGUAAAGCGCACGUAGGCGGCUUUUUAAGUCGGGGGUGAAAGCCCAGGGCUCAACCCUGGAAUUGCCUUCGAUACUGGACAUCUUGAGUGCGGGAGAGGUGAGUGGAACUCCGAGUGUAGAGGUGAAAUUCGUAGAUAUUCGGAAGAACACCAGUGGCGAAGGCGACUCACUGGCCCGUUACUGACGCUGAUGCGCGAAAGCGUGGGGAGCAAACAGG